rnacentral:rRNA from 1 species
UACGUAGGGUGCGAGCGUUGUCCGGAAUUAUUGGGCGUAAAGAGCUUGUAGGCGGUUUGUCGCGUCUGCUGUGAAAAUCCGGGUCUCAACCCCGGACUUGCAGUGGGUACGGGCAGACUAGAGUGUGGUAGGGGAGACUGGAAUUCCUGGUGUAGCGGUGAAAUGCGCAGAUAUCAGGAGGAACACCGAUGGCGAAGGCAGGUCUCUGGGCCACUACUGACGCUGAGAAGCGAAAGCAUGGGGAGCGAACAGGAUUAGA